rnacentral:rRNA from 1 species
UACGUAGGGCGCAAGCGUUAUCCGGAAUUAUUGGGCGUAAAGAGCUCGUAGGCGGUUUGUCGCGUCUGCCGUGAAAGUCCGGGGCUCAACUCCGGAUCUGCGGUGGGUACGGGCAGACUAGAGUGAUGUAGGGGAGACUGGAAUUCCUGGUGUAGCGGUGAAAUGCGCAGAUAUCAGGAGGAACACCGGUGGCGAAGGCGGGUCUCUGGGCCGAAACUGACGCUGGAGGAGCGAAAGCGUGGGGAGCAAACAGG